rnacentral:rRNA from 1 species
GAUUUCUGGCGGAUCGAACUUGGCCGGCCACGGUUUCGUGUGUUAGUGCUUUGUUUUUUCGCCAUCCUUCCAAUGGCUAUUCAUCCUUCUUCAUUGAGGCGGUGAGUGGUAUUGGAUCUUUUACUUUGAAAAAAUUAGAGUGUUUAAAGCAGGCUUUUGCUAUGAAUACAUUAGCAUGGAAUAAUAAUCUAGGACUUCGGUUCUAUUUUGUUGGUUUCUAUAACUGAAGUAAUGAUUGAUAGGGAUAGUUGGGGGUGCUAGUAUUGGCCGGCCAGAGGUGAAAUUCUUGGAUUCGGUCAAGACUAACUUAUGCGAAAGCAUU